GGAGAGGUACCGAAGUGGUCAUAACGGGGGCGCCUCGAAAGCGUCUUGCCUCAAAAGGGCACGUGGGUUCGAAUCCCACCCUCUCCGCCA
rnacentral:tRNA from 1 species